GGGUUGUGAGGUUAAGCGACUAAGCGUACACGGUGGAUGCCCUGGCAGUCAGAGGCGAUGAAGGACGUGCUAAUCUGCGAUAAGCGUCGGUAAGGUGAUAUGAACCGUUAUAACCGGCGAUUUCCGAAUGGGGAAACCCAGUGUGAUUCGUCACACUAUCAUUAACUGAAUCCAUAGGUUAAUGAGGCGAACCGGGGGAACUGAAACAUCUAAGUACCCCGAGGAAAAGAAAUCAACCGAGAUUCCCCCAGUAGCGGCGAGCGAACGGGGAGCAGCCCAGAGCCUGAAUCAGUGUGUGUGUUAGUGGAAGCGUCUGGAAAGGCGUGCGAUACAGGGUGACAGCCCCGUACACAAAAAUGCACAUGCUGUGAGCUCGAUGAGUAGGGCGGGACACGUGGUAUCCUGUCUGAAUAUGGGGGGACCAUCCUCCAAGGCUAAAUACUCCUGACUGACCGAUAGUGAACCAGUACCGUGAGGGAAAGGCGAAAAGAACCCCGGCGAGGGGAGUGAAAAAGAACCUGAAACCGUGUACGUACAAGCAGUGGGAGCACAGAGCAAUCUGUGUGACUGCGUACCUUUUGUAUAAUGGGUCAGCGACUUAUAUUCUGUAGCAAGGUUAACCGAAUAGGGGAGCCGAAGGGAAACCGAGUCUUAACUGGGCGUUAAGUUGCAGGGUAUAGACCCGAAACCCGGUGAUCUAGCCAUGGGCAGGUUGAAGGUUGGGUAACACUAACUGGAGGACCGAACCGACUAAUGUUGAAAAAUUAGCGGAUGACUUGUGGCUGGGGGUGAAAGGCCAAUCAAACCGGGAGAUAGCUGGUUCUCCCCGAAAGCUAUUUAGGUAGCGCCUCGUGAAUUCAUCUCCGGGGGUAGAGCACUGUUUCGGCAAGGGGGUCAUCCCGACUUACCAACCCGAUGCAAACUGCGAAUACCGGAGAAUGUUAUCACGGGAGACACACGGCGGGUGCUAACGUCCGUCGUGAAGAGGGAAACAACCCAGACCGCCAGCUAAGGUCCCAAAGUCAUGGUUAAGUGGGAAACGAUGUGGGAAGGCCCAGACAGCCAGGAUGUUGGCUUAGAAGCAGCCAUCAUUUAAAGAAAGCGUAAUAGCUCACUGGUCGAGUCGGCCUGCGCGGAAGAUGUAACGGGGCUAAACCAUGCACCGAAGCUGCGGCAGCGACGCUUAUGCGUUGUUGGGUAGGGGAGCGUUCUGUAAGCCUGCGAAGGUGUGCUGUGAGGCAUGCUGGAGGUAUCAGAAGUGCGAAUGCUGACAUAAGUAACGAUAAAGCGGGUGAAAAGCCCGCUCGCCGGAAGACCAAGGGUUCCUGUCCAACGUUAAUCGGGGCAGGGUGAGUCGACCCCUAAGGCGAGGCCGAAAGGCGUAGUCGAUGGGAAACAGGUUAAUAUUCCUGUACUUGGUGUUACUGCGAAGGGGGGACGGAGAAGGCUAUGUUGGCCGGGCGACGGUUGUCCCGGUUUAAGCGUGUAGGCUGGUUUUCCAGGCAAAUCCGGAAAAUCAAGGCUGAGGCGUGAUGACGAGGCACUACGGUGCUGAAGCAACAAAUGCCCUGCUUCCAGGAAAAGCCUCUAAGCAUCAGGUAACAUCAAAUCGUACCCCAAACCGACACAGGUGGUCAGGUAGAGAAUACCAAGGCGCUUGAGAGAACUCGGGUGAAGGAACUAGGCAAAAUGGUGCCGUAACUUCGGGAGAAGGCACGCUGAUAUGUAGGUGAAGUCCCUCGCGGAUGGAGCUGAAAUCAGUCGAAGAUACCAGCUGGCUGCAACUGUUUAUUAAAAACACAGCACUGUGCAAACACGAAAGUGGACGUAUACGGUGUGACGCCUGCCCGGUGCCGGAAGGUUAAUUGAUGGGGUUAGCGCAAGCGAAGCUCUUGAUCGAAGCCCCGGUAAACGGCGGCCGUAACUAUAACGGUCCUAAGGUAGCGAAAUUCCUUGUCGGGUAAGUUCCGACCUGCACGAAUGGCGUAAUGAUGGCCAGGCUGUCUCCACCCGAGACUCAGUGAAAUUGAACUCGCUGUGAAGAUGCAGUGUACCCGCGGCAAGACGGAAAGACCCCGUGAACCUUUACUAUAGCUUGACACUGAACAUUGAGCCUUGAUGUGUAGGAUAGGUGGGAGGCUUGGAAGUGUGGACGCCAGUCUGCAUGGAGCCGACCUUGAAAUACCACCCUUUAAUGUUUGAUGUUCUAACGUUGACCCGUAAUCCGGGUUGCGGACAGUGUCUGGUGGGUAGUUUGACUGGGGCGGUCUCCUCCUAAAGAGUAACGGAGGAGCACGAAGGUUGGCUAAUCCUGGUCGGACAUCAGGAGGUUAGUGCAAUGGCAUAAGCCAGCUUGACUGCGAGCGUGACGGCGCGAGCAGGUGCGAAAGCAGGUCAUAGUGAUCCGGUGGUUCUGAAUGGAAGGGCCAUCGCUCAACGGAUAAAAGGUACUCCGGGGAUAACAGGCUGAUACCGCCCAAGAGUUCAUAUCGACGGCGGUGUUUGGCACCUCGAUGUCGGCUCAUCACAUCCUGGGGCUGAAGUAGGUCCCAAGGGUAUGGCUGUUCGCCAUUUAAAGUGGUACGCGAGCUGGGUUUAGAACGUCGUGAGACAGUUCGGUCCCUAUCUGCCGUGGGCGCUGGAGAACUGAGGGGGGCUGCUCCUAGUACGAGAGGACCGGAGUGGACGCAUCACUGGUGUUCGGGUUGUCAUGCCAAUGGCACUGCCCGGUAGCUAAAUGCGGAAGAGAUAAGUGCUGAAAGCAUCUAAGCACGAAACUUGCCCCGAGAUGAGUUCUCCCUGACUCCUUGAGAGUCCUGAAGGAACGUUGAAGACGACGACGUUGAUAGGCCGGGUGUGUAAGCGCAGCGAUGCGUUGAGCUAACCGGUACUAAUGAACCGUGAGGCUUAACCUUACAACGCCGAAGGUGUUU
rnacentral:rRNA from 1 species